rnacentral:rRNA from 1 species
UGGGUGAGUAACGCGUGGGUAACCUGCCCUUAAGUCUGGGAUACCAUUUGGAAACAGAUGCUAAUACCGGAUAAAAGCUACUUUCGCAUGAAAGAAGUUUAAAAGGCGGCGUAAGCUGUCGCUAAAGGAUGGACCUGCGAUGCAUUAGCUAGUUGGUAAGGUAACGGCUUACCAAGGCGAUGAUGCAUAGCCUAGUUGAGAGACUGAUCGGCCACAUUGGGACUUAGACACGGCCCAAACUCCUACGGGAGGCAGCAGCG